GCCGGGAUCGCCUAGCCUGGUAGGGCGAUGGCCUGGAGAGCCAUUGACUCGAAAGAGUCUUGGGGGUUCAAAUCCCCCUCCCGGCG
rnacentral:tRNA from 1 species